GCUAAAUACUAGCUGUAGCUAUUACCGCAACACAGUCUUAUUGCUGAAUGAAGUCACAGAAUUUGUUAUCUGUCUCAGCAGGAUAAACAAUGCAUAUUACUGAGACUCAAUCCAUUAUCUCUAAGAAUUCAACCACCUGGAUGUGAAAAUGAAUUCAUUCUCUAUGCAAGUUUGUGGGAGAUGUGCAGAAUACAACUCAGCUGGCAAUUUUCUUUGUAGUACAAUUAAAACCUCAAAUACAGCACAGAUCCAUAUAUUGUGGUUUGAGAGGAAAUGCACAAAACUUGUUUUUCAUAUGGUUAGAUGAGUAGCUUAUGCAUGCAUGAUGCUAGAAUUAAUCUCAUGAUGGAAGACUAGGCUUAGAUCAUAUGAUGUCUUUGCUUAGCUGAGUUCUACAACUGUUUUUAAUUGCAGGCCUGGGUUUUGAUUUUAUUAUAGGAGGUCUAUAGUAAAAAACAAGUGUUAGGCAGAGACUCACUGAAGUAAAGGAAGGGGUCAAAUCACUCAACCAUCCCUACCUUUAAGCAGUACGCAUAGUGCUGUGGUGACUGAGUGUAAAUGUGGCUGAAGUAACCUCAUAAUUCAUAACAAAUAAAACUGACUAAAAUACAUUGUGAUUUAUAGAGGUUGUGUGUAUUUCACGCUGUAUGAACUGAUCUGUUUCUGUCAGUAAAUUGGGUACAAACCAUCUAUUACAGCAUGUUAAUUUCUUUACUCAGUUUAUCACAGUCUGUUUUGUAUUCAGAUUGAUUCACUACUUUUCCAGCAUCAUUUACUCAACUGCAUUAUCAUUUAUUUGUAUUGUGGGUUUUUAUUACUCUAAUUUCAGGAUCUAUAAUUGAUCUCUAGAAAUUGAUACUGAUAAGACUAUAAUUAGUGGGAAAGUAGCCUAAUGUGAUCAUAUGUUGAAUGAAUACAGGCUAAUUUUUAUUGAUGUAACUGUUACUAAAAACAUGCCAUCAGGUGGUGAUCUCUAUCUUUGCCGUGACUUCAUUUAGAUUAGAGCAGUGGCAGGACCCUCUCGGCUUCUGGCCAGGCAGCACAUAAUAAAAGCCUUAAAAUACGUGAAACAUUAGAAACCUAUGUUUGAGUUCAUGCAGUAUCACCAUUUAUUGAUGUUAAUAGUUUUAAAAGUUUUAAUUAAAAAAAAAUUAAUAUCUUGUAAGUUUAAUUAUGUACGUUGUAUCUAUCUAUUUUCAAUCCAACUAACUGGCUCUCUCUUUUAAAAAUGAGGUAUCGUUUCAAAAUUAGAAUUGAGUCCUGGAAGUCUGGGCUGAAUUGCACAUCUCAAGUAAUAGCCAAGAAAAAGUAGGAAGUAUUUAAACUACUGAAACGUUAAGAUAGGAUGACAGCUCACUUUCUUUCAGAUCCGAAACCUUGCCAUUGGGCCUUGAUACUUAUUUUGAAAUGGCUUCAUGUGGCUCAACUCAUUUAGUUUGAAAGACAGUUUACAUUUUAGUUUCCAAGAAGUGUUAGCUUUUUCUUGUAUUAUCACAUUCUUCCCUGUUAAUAAAAUCACAGAUACUUAUUCCCGUUUCAGUAAAUAUUAAAUCCCCAGUUGGAGAAUGAUUCCCUACCGCUUUGCAGUACAGAGAAACAGGUGUUUGACUAAUGUUCAAUGAAGAUGAAAACAUUUCCUGACAGAUGUUCAGAGAAAAAAGAAAACAUAAUCAUUAUUGCUGGGUAAUUAUAAAUUAAUUGAGUUAUGCUUUAAUUGUGCCUUGGUCCGUAAGUGCCGUAAGAUGGUAAAGCUAUGAGAAAAGUUCUGAUCAUCAUCUAUCUCAGUAGUCCACUGUCUAUACUUCAGUGCUGUAUGGUCAGGCAUAUUUUGGAUAGUUUUAAUACACAAUCUGGGGUAACAGCAGCAAUCUAAUAGUAAAGUGAAACUCAUGGUAGUGUAACUAUAUUCUUCUUAACCCUGGAUUAAGCAUACCUGUCCAACAAUGAAGUCAUAAUGUUAAUGCACUUGAAAAAAAUAUUCUUAAGCUGGCUUAAACUCUUAAUGGCUACCAGACCUAAUAAAAACUGUUUGGACCAUCCAAAUACGGCUACCUAAUGGUGCUUAAACACUCAUUAAUGAUAUGUGUCAUCUAGAAUGGGGAGUCCUAUUGAAAUUAAUUCAGAAUAUUAUCCUUUGCUGCUGGUAAGCUAUUGUAUUCUGAAAAUAAUAGGUUAAUUAAUGUAUUGUAACCAUGGGGGAGGUUUUUAUUUACUACUUGUUUCCUGGACAGAUGAACUUGGCAAACUACAUUGUGUCCUGUGAAGGAAUCCGAAGUGAAUGUUCUGUUCCAAAAGAGGAAAGUUUACCCAUCUAUUUAUUUCUGACAGUUUGCUCUCCAUCAAAUAAGUUUUAAGGGAGGUAUUAAGACUUUUUAAUUUAUACUUUAUUUUGGAUUGAGUGGAAUCUUUUUCCCUGUUCUGUUUGUACUCUAUUCUCUUCUGAUUCUUCAAAGAAUAAGACAUUAUAGAAUAAAACGGUUUCUUCUUAUUUUCUACUUUUCUGAACUCUGACACAUUUUUGACCUGUUAUGCCUUGAUUGUGGAUCCCUUAUAAGAUAACGAUUUUCAGUCUGCUUCACUUUCUCUAGUUCUGAUUGCUUGCAUGCUCACUAUUUGAAGAAUAUUAAUACAUUAAUUCUGAUUAUUCUGAGAACACAAAAUCAAUUUCUGUGGCAAGAAUCUCUUCUUAUUUUUUUCCCAUGAGACAAAUGCUAUUUUCUUCUUUAUCAGUACAAAAGAGAUCUCAUUUCUGACCUGUUUAUUUUUUUCCUUGUAAAUGCUUGUUUUAUUUUUAUUUAGGCUGUGUUCUUUUAAACUAAUUUAUCUCACUGGCCCCUGACACCAGUGAGAAAGUCUGAAGCAAAGAAGACUUACCCUGGGUUGGGGAGAGCUAGGUUAGGAAAAAUUUGAAUGAACUGGGCAUACACAAAUUCUGACGUGGACCUGACUUAGCAAGUGCUGAUGAAACUCACUGAUGUCUUUGCAAGGUCACUCAUAAUUUUUUUUUUUUUGAAAGGUCAUUGUGUUUAGGGAUGAUCCCUUAGGGAUAGAAAAAAAAAAACAAAUAUCACUCUUACAUCAAGAAGGGCAAAAAAGAGGAGCUACAAACUGGUCAGCCUCAACUCAGUUCCUGGGAAGUCAUGGAGCAAAUAAUCAGGGAAACUGUUUCUAAACAAGUUAAAGACAGAACAAGUUAAAGACAGGCUGAUAGUAGUUGGUGUGGAUUCAUGAAAGGGGUAAAUAUGAUGCUUGACUACCUGGUAGCCUUGCUGAAAGGCUAUGAAAGGAUGAUUGGCAAAGUAGAUGAUGGGAGAGCAGUGGAUGUUAUUUUUCUUGAUUUUAGUAAGAUUUUAUGUAGUCUCCAAGUUGCAUCAUCUAGAAUAACUUAAGUGCUGACUAGAAAAGUGAACUGUGGAUUGAAAACUAGCUGAACUGCUGACCUUACCUGUUGUUGUCAGCAGCAUGAAGUCCUGCUGGAGACCAAUAGGUAUACCAAGGGUCAAUACCAGGAUUGAUACUGUCUAGUAUUUUCAUUGAUGGCUUAGGUUAUAAAAUGAGAGGACCUACUGCAAGUUAACAAAUAAUACAAGAUUGAGGAGAGUUGAUACAACAGAUGGUUGUGCUGCUAUUCAGAGGGACUUGAAAUGGAUGGAGAAAUGGGACUGUCUACUACUCUAAAUAUUGUGGCCCUUGUCUUUUCAUAUUUAGUAGUACGAAUGCAGAAUUCCAAGUUGGGUCAAAUGAUUACUUUGUUUUGGAGGUAUGAAUAUCUUCUUUCUGUCUGAUGUAUUAAGUUUCAGUAAAAGGGAAUUGAUAGCCAAAAUGGUACCCUGAAUUCAAUAGUGCAACACUUUAUUCUUUUUAAAUGUUGCUUAGAAUCUACAUGCUAAGUCUGUUGAUAUUAGUGGCACUGAAAACAGCAUAAUUUGAAAAGGACUUUUAAAUGUUUCUAAAAUGCUUACAGGGCAUUGUUUAGAACAAUGUUAGCAGCUUGUUUGUGCUCUGUAAGCAAAGCAGCAUCUUGCAAACUGCUCGUUUCAAGAAAAAUCACAUUGUAGAUUUACCUUGCUGUUAAAGCUCUUAUUGAUGACAAUCGACCUACAAGAAGUUGUCACUGAUGAAAACUUGCAUAGUACAAUCCCUGGUAUAGUACUGAAAUAUAGUCAGAUAAUGAAAAUUUACCUCUACCAGUGGUCCUGGAAAGAUAGCAUGAAAUCAAGUAAACUGUAUAAAGACAAAUGGGUUGGAUAGUUUGUCUGUCUUGAUCACACAUGAACUGUAGCUAGUUCUACUUUAGUUUGUUUCUGAUUUAAGCUGAGGGAUGCAGUUAAUCAGUUUGCUUACUCUGUGGAUCUGCAGUGUUUUUUUGUGCUUACUGAUACCCCUGACCACAACAUUAUUGCCCUAUAUUUCUCUGUGUACUGAACUUGAUAUAUCUGAGAGAAGCGAUUUAAACUAUUCUGACAUUUCACAUAGCUAAUUUUUGCUUCUCUGAGACAGAAAUCCUAAGCUCUUAAAUCAUUAUCUAAAGUUUGAGCCCCUACAUAGACUCAUGGAGCUGCUUUUUUCCUUCUGCUUCACAAAUUUUGCGUCUUCAAUGGUUUUAACAUAUGCACUCAUCCAACUACUUUAGUCAAAGUAAAUGUUCCAGCACUGUCUAUCUUCUUCCUGUCUCCUUUCUGCUAAAACUUAAACUGAUCACGCAAAACAAACAAACAAAAAAAAUCUGUAGCAUGCAUUUUAGGGCUUAAGUCAUUUUUACUUACACAUAAGACUUGGGAUUUAACUUGAAAAGCUUCUUUAGAUAUGCUUGUUUUUCCUCUAAUGGGAGCCGGUGCAAUUGGCAGAAAGUUUAGAAUACGCAGAAUGAUUUUUUUCAAUGGAUAACUAUAAAGUGACAUUAGUAAAAGAUGGUAAUUGUGUUUGUGAGUAUUUUUUAGGGAUAUGGAAUAGGCUUUGUAUGAUAUCCAUGUGCGUUUCUGGACACCACAGAGUACAGGUUUUUUCUUUACUUACAUUGUAAGAAUGCCUAGAUGCCUGCUGUCAGCACUUUGAGAACUGUAUAUAUACACAUGAAAAACAUAUCGAUGUUUGGAAAAGCAUUCAGCUUGUAAAAGAAACCUCAAGUAGACCCCAUUUGCUAAGCAUAAAAUAACAAUUUCUGGACUGAGAAAAUUUUGUUGGGUAGUUAAUAUGACAAAAAGCAUAUUUAUUACAAAAGGUGCAUACAUAACUGUCAGAUCUAAAACUUGAGUUCUCUCUAUUUGUGCUGUGAAAAAUUAUUUAUUCUGAGGAGACCUCUGAUAGACUUUGACUAGGGAAGAAUAGAUCUCUUUAGCCAAAAAGUAAAAAUGAAGACCGAAAACUUCAUUUAGUUAUGAAAGAAACAAAGUGAGAGAUGUGGAAUUGUUAUUAUUGGGAGGGCUGGUAGUGAAUUCUAUCUCUAGAUUGCCUAACAUUUUCCAUUAUGUUGUGAAUUUGUAAUACCUUUUUUUCUUUCUUUCUUUCUUUUUUUUUUCCUGAUGCUUCUUACAGGGUAAAAGAGGAGAGAAAGAGGUAGAAAAAAAGCUAUUUAAUUUCUUCUUUUUGUUCUUCCGCACUGGCCAUGGGACACCUUUUCUUAUCUUCCUCUCUAAUAAGGAAACGUUUCAAGCAAAUAUAAUUUUGAUUCUGGAGUCAUGUUUUCACAUACUACCUUUGUGGUUGCCCAUGUGAAUUUUAUUUCUUUGAAUCUCUGUAAUUACAAUACAGUUGGUAAUUACAUGAUCAUGCUAUUCUUAUUUAAGAUUUGCGUAUCUUUUAGUAGCUGAUAUUUUUACAUAAGGGAAAAGAUUAAAGUUUUAUGAGUAACUUUUUCUAUAAGGUUUUAUUUUUAAUGCAACAUUUAAAAUAAAGCAAAGAAAGAAAAAUAAACUCAACGGAAUAUUAUUCUGUUUAAAAUACCAGUGCUAAAGGAAGAGAACAUUUGAAGAAAAUAACUGUAGUAUUUUAGGAAAAAUACAGUUCAGUUGGAAGGUUGAUUGCUUUCCGAAAGAAAAGUAGUCUAGAGAUGUGGGGACCUGAUCUGGUGAGGAUAUCAUUUUGCAUAACUGAUUUGCUUCUUUGUCAGUGUUAGAAUUGUGUAGAAUAUUUUCACAGAGUAAUGGGAAAAUGUAGAAAGAGGAAGAUGCGGGGUUAGGGAGACCUGCUGGAUUCAUAGAAAAAGUUGGAGAAAUGGAGAAGAAAUACUGAGAAUAAAGAUAAAAGAAAUAUCAGUCAGUGAGCAUUUAAAGAAAAGCUGUGAUUUAGGGUAAUUUAUCAUUGUGAACAUUUACAAGUAGUCACACAUUAUAUAAAGUAUCAGGAGCUUAAAUUUUUAGUGAAUAUAUAUAGUAAAUGCUAGUAAUUAAAAAUGAUAUAAAUUUACUGAAAAAAUAAGCAAGUUCACAUAAACUAUAAUGCUUCUAUGUUACUCAUUAAAAUCAGUGUUCAAAGAAAUUUUUGCAGCAGCAUAGUCAAUUUUUUUUUAAUGAUUCAAAGCCUCAAAGUGUAGAAUACUGAGACUGCAAUUGUUAAGGCUGGAGAGUUCUCAGAAGGUAUGUGUGUGAGUGUUGGUAUCUAGCACUUGAAUAUUCAACUUCAAGGAUUGAUAUUAGAGUUUAUGAAUAUAGAAUGCAAGUAAAGUGGUGGAUAAGUGAUCGUGAUUCCCAAUUAUUGCUUACACAAUAAUAUAAGAUCCACUAGUUACAAUGAAAAAUUCCUAUGAAAUAUCUAAUGGAAUCUAAGCAGAGUAAACAGAGAGAGAGACAGGCUUGGUGGGAGACACUAUUUGUGCUAAUUUGGACAAAUUUACAUUUGCCUUGGAUUUUGAUGCAGAUGCAGUGAAUGUUGAAGAAUGUAUGUGUGUGUAUAUAUAUAUAUUCUUUUUCUGUGAUGCAGCUCAAAAUGUGAAUAAUAAAUCAUUUAUGACAUUGACCUGAAAAUACAUCACAACAUUGUCUAAUUCAGCCCUCAGUAUCUAUUGUGAACUUUGAGGGAAAUAAUGGCCCUAAAAAUGGUACAGCUCUGUGUAAAUAAAUUCUAUGCCAAGAGCUCUGUCCUUACAGGGCAUAACAGAUGAAUAAGUGAGGUUAUUUAAAAAUAAACAACUUUUAGGUAACUUCCCUGACACUGGUUUUAUAAACUGCUGCUGAUAUUGCAAUGACUUGUGUAUUUUAAAUUAAACCAGUUUAGGGUAAUUUCUUUUUCUACUGUUCAAACCCAUUAAGUUAGUGUAAUUAUCACAGUAGGGAACGAGCAGUGUAGUAAGAAUGCCUGGACUCACUUUCUCUAGAAGGAAUAAAUGGCAAAUAGAAGAACUCCCACUAAUUCUAACACAAUUCACAGAUUUUGAAGAUAGAACAUUUUAAUAGGAUCAAUUUAAUAUUAUACCUCUUGGCAUAAUAACUAGGAUAUAUAUUUAAUAAUAUCAUGCACAAUACAGACAUAAGUAACAAAUACACACACAGUAUAUAAAGUACAGUAUUCUGUGUUUCUUUGCAUUGUCCGUGUGAGAAUAUCAAAGAGGCUUACAAAUGUUAAAUGAAAAUAUACUGGUUAAAUUCAGCAGGAUUUUAAUCUAUACCUGACAAUCUUAUAUUUUGUCCUCAAGAUUUCAGUUUAUUCACUUUUAUUUAUUCUUAUAUAACAAACAAUCCUAAACACUAUCAUAUGUUACAAUUUCUGAUUAAGCACUUUAUGGCUUUCCAGAUGUCAUUACAAAUGAGUAGAGUAGAUGUGCCUAAUUACUGUACCAGCAGACAAGAUGUGCAGUGUGUUGUUUAGGGGAAACAGUGAAAUAUUUCUGCCCAAAGUGAACCACAAAAACUUUGCACCCUCUUAUUUAAAUUCUUUUGUGAUUCUCAAACCUCUGUAUGGUUCACAGGGCUGCAUAAUGAAUACCUGUCCAAUAGGACAUUAAUUGAUGGGGCAGAGAUCAAUUAGAUCCUCUGUCUACUGUUACCAGAGUAGUCCUACAAAAGGAGCUAUUUUGAGGUGCUUUUAGUGCAUUCUGUGGGAGAGACGAUGAUUUAGUCACAUAUAUGCUUGAAGUUACAUUUUAUAUCAAAUGAAUGGUUAAUAGAUAUGAAUAGGAGAGUUUUUAAAGAUGACGAAUCUAUCUAGUAGUAAGACAAUGUGUAAUUUUUUCAGAGUUCUUUUUCUAUGGGGUUUUCAGGACACUGUCAGAUUGAAAACAAAAUAUAACACUUGGCGAUAUUUUUUUAAGAAAGCUCAGGUAGGAUGAAUCCCGUGUCAAGGAGAGAAAGCUAAAAUGAUGAAAAUGAUGGAGCUGAGACAGACUUGCUAGUAUGAGAUGUGGAUGGAAAGGCACCUGUACCUGAUAAUGCAGUCUGAACUACAGAAAGUAAAGCAGUUGAUGAUGGAGGUCCAUCUACACAACAAAUUAUGUGAACUUUGCAGAGCUCUGAAAGUAAACACUGUCUGGAUAAUGUUGAUUUCUUUUUUAACCCCCCUCAUUUCCAAAGCAAAUGUUUGCUGAACAUUGAUUGGAUGUUACUCAGUUGAAUGUCUCACUGAUGAACAGGUGGCUAAAACCUGCUUGUUCAUGCUGUCAACAAGUAGCAUUAGCUUAACAAUAUUUUGUAGGAUACAGUACUUUGCUAACAGUAACAGGGAAUUGGAUAUUGGAAAGCAGUGAUCUUUUGAAACUUCUACUUUCUACUGCAUUGAGGAAUGAAACCGGAAAAGCAAGCGUUCUCCUAAAUCAGUCUUCAGAUCAUAUGUUAAGAGAAAAAAAAAUUCAUUGUAUUUAUUUUUCAAUACAGUAAAUCUCUAGCACAAGAAAAAGAGAAGAACUGUAGGAAUGAGAUUCUUCAAAGAUUUGAUCUUGAGGAAUACAGAGAGGAAAUACAGAAGUAUGAGUUGUCAUAAUUUCUAGGCUACAUUUGCCUAAGAUCUUAAAGGGCUACUAGGAUGGGUAGGUCAUGUGCUGUUUCAUUUAGCUGUGGUUAAGUUAAAGUGACACAGUUCUACAUAAUCAACGUUCUGAUUGUCAUGGUCUGGCCUGAUGUGCCUCUGUUGAGUAUAAGCACUAAUUUUGUUCAUUUAUGAGGAAUGACAAAAUGCGUUUAACAGAAAGGCAGCGAAGACUCAAAUGUAGAUGUAUAGUUCCUCUAAGUCUUCAAAGAAAGCAGAAUAGAAUUCACAAUACACCUCUAUUGAUUUUAAUCUGUAGUUAAUUGAUAGAAUACUUUUGUCCUGCAGUAUACCCAUUAAAGAAAAUACAAUUGCAAAGGAGGAAAUGAAAUAGAUCUUCAGAAUCCUUCUUUCUGGUGUUUCUUCUUCUAAGAAGUGCUAAAUGGUCAUUCCUUUCUUCAGGUGAUUCUCAUACUGUAAAAAUUGACCUCCUUUUUCUCUACUGCAAGGCAAGCUGCCCACGCACUAACAGAAGUAAAAUAUGUGUCCUCUCUGAAACACUGGAAUUUGUUCAGGCUGUUUAUCUGGCACUUCAUUUAUGUGUCUCGUAGACAUUUGAAUUGGCACAGCUUUUGUGAUUUCACACUUCUCUUUUCUCCAUAUCAAAUGUAAUUUAUAUUGGGAAUGAAAAGACAUAACAAGAAUUAAUUCUGAGGCUUUAUUAAUCUUUUAAGUGAUAAGAUUAUUCAGGAUUAUUUUUUUUAACUGAGGCAACUAUGGGUUCUCAAAUUGAAGGCAUUGCAUGCUAAUUAGAAUCACACCAAUAAUUCUGCAGAGGGCAACAGUUCUAAUAAGGAAAUUCAUGGAAGUGGAACAUUUCUAAACAGUGCCAUUAAGUUUCUUCUAGCAGGACUCAGAUGAUGAUAUAGAAAGAAGAUGAAAAUAGAUGAUACAUUUGGUUUAGGGAAGUCCUAAGCUGUGCUAUAAAUAGCAUAUGCAUCCCCCAUGAAGAUAAUGGGGAGAAUCCUCUCCUCAUCUCCCUCUUUCUUAGAGACGUUUUACCAUUUUGAGAGACUGAUAUAAUUGUUUAAUAAAGAAGCAUUUGUGGAAAUAAGAAAAAAUAACAUUAUCCUAAAUAUAUUCAUCAGAGUUUCAAUUGAGAGAGCUAACUUCUUUUUCUGUCCGAUUUAGUUUCUUAUUCAUUUAUUGCUUUGGAAUUUGUAGGUGAAUGAACAUAGGCAUAAUAACUUAUAGGUGUUGAUUCAUUUACAUUUCUGAAUGGGAUUGUGUGUGUUGUUUGCUGUCCUCUAGAGAUCAAACAAGCCUAAUAACACGAAUCUGAGUGAUGUCAAAAUACCACUCUUGUAUUGUUGAAGCUAGCUACUCUUUAAAAUAGAUUCAAGGAAAAGACAAUUAGUUUCUGUCUAGGGACUACUGCACAAAUGUCCUUCAGUGAAAAAUCACUUACGCUUUCAAUAUAUCUUGAAAGGCUUUAUUAAGGCAUAAUACAAAAUUCUCUCAGAGCACUGACACAUGCCAGAGGGCAGACUAAUGAGAACUGGAUAGCCAAGCCACCUGCCUGAUUUCUGUGCUGAGAAUUUGCUGGAGAUUUAAGAAAAUUGGUGGAUGAGUCAGUAAUUGAAGAAGUUCUUUGACUUCCUGUGCAAUAUAAGGGGCAACAAGUGAAAAGCAGUCUUAGCCGCAGGGACAUUUGUACCACUUCUGGCUGUAAUGUCAACGUAACUGUCACAUUUGUCACCUGAUACAGAAAUUACGUGUAUCUCAAAGAGGAGACAGUUGAGUGUUGUGCGUUCAUCUUCAUGGCUGUUUAGCUAACAUCAGAAAGAUUACUAUGGAAAAUCACAAAUAAUUAAAAAAUGACAAAUAUAUGAUCAAAACUGAUGUAUCACUGUUUUUUCUGAGCUCUUAAAUAGUAUAGCCAUACUUGUUUGAAAAGGUACACUAGUAAAACAUUUGCUCUGCUGUGAUUGAUUGUAUCAUAAUAUAUCCAAUUUCAAAAACAGGUAAGACUAAAUAGCUUGCAGUUUUCAGUGAUGCUUAUUUUUCAACUUUUCAGAUGUGUGUCUCAGGUAAAAUGCUAUGAAAAUGUUACAUUUUCCCUCAGAGCAGCACUGUUUCUUUCUUGCAUUUGCUCAGCUGUUCUUAGCUGCGUUGUUGAUGGAAGAAUUCCUUUAUUUCUUUCCUAACUAUAGUCUAGUGCUAACUGUAAAGAAAGAUUCAUGUGAAGCUUAUCAGACUGUCCAAAUCAUCUAUUGUCAGUUGUGAUGCAAGCUGCAAGCUGGCUCUGUACCAUCAUAUAGCUGUUAUGUAAAAAGGUUUGUCUGAGGAAGCACCUGAAUUCUAGGUGAUUUUUCUUUCUACUUUUCCUACCUAAAAGCUUGUCAUUUGUAGCUGAUCUUGAAAAUGUUUUGACAAACUAGCAACUAAAAUCCGAGUGUUUAUAGGGUUGUUAAUUUAAGAGAAAUGACAGUAGCUAUCUAGGCCUCAAUAUAAUUUAUCUAGUGACUCUCAGGUGAUAGAAGUGAACAGAGUUUUAUGUAGAAAUAUUUGGGUAGAGAAAGCUGAUUAAACCUCUCAGAUGUAUACUUAAAGAGACUCCUCUGAGUUUGUUAUGGCAGUUUAAAAUAGUGACGAGUAAAAUAUUUACCUUUAAAUCUUCUGAUUAGAGGUCGGACCAUUAUUUCCUCUGACUUACAGAUGUUACUGUGAUAGCUUCUUGAAUAUUCUCUAUCUGAGGAGAGUCAUCUGUGUCCUACUACACAGGUAAUUUUACUGCAAAAAAAGCUUGUAGUUGGAGCGAAGAAUUGUCCAUAGACAGUGAUCUCUGCAGAGGAAAUAUAGGCUAUACUUCCUUCUGAAUUCAAGGUACACUUCCUUUUAACAUCUACAUUGUUGACAUAUUCACAAAUCAUUAGAGUAGGAAGUUGACACUGUCAGCAACUUCCUCAUCCUCGGGACCUGCAGAUUGUUUGCUGGAGCUGCUACUUCCAUGGCAUUUUUGUAUGGUUUUGCUCUUCCUCUGGGAUUCCAUUCUUGUGUGAAUCCUCUCUGUGGAGUUUCUUACAUGAUUUUUGUCAGUCACCUUUUUAUUUUAUUACUGCUACUUUCUUUUUUUUUUUUUUUAAGUGAAAAAAGGUUUACAUGCCCACAGUUCUUGAAAAAGAUUUCACUUGUUGUUGAAGGUUCAAUUGGAUUGGUUGCUGAAGAUAUUUCAUGUCAAUAAUACAGUAAUAGAAGUUGCUGUCUCUUUGUAUUUUGGUUCCACAGUGUGGAGUCAGGGUAAAGGUCUCUAGAGUAAUGAGGAGGUACUAUCUGGAAAGAGGUUCAAGCUCAUGCAACAUUAGGUAGAGUCUUUUGACCAAUCUGAUCUUGAAAGCAUUCAAACUCAAGUAGAUCAUUGCUGUCCACAGGUUGGAAUAGAGUGUUCCUAAGCUUUAGGCUUCUAACUUAAGGACUAUUUAGGCAUACCCUCACCUAAAACAUCUCAAAAAAGAACUGGCUUCCUCACCCCAGGUCCUCCAAAAUGAUUGUAUUUUUCACUGUAUCUGGGAGCAGGGAGCUCAUGACAGGUCUUCUCCUGGGGCUGUAACAAUCUGACCCCUGAGUCUGGAGGACCUUCUUCCUUUCCAAGUUUGUCUGUUAUUUAGUGCAACUGGGCUUUUUCCCUUACUUUGUACCUCUAUUGAAUUGAGAACUUAAUGGGGAGUAGAUGAGAUUGAAUACAGUAUGGGGAAUUCAAACUGAAUUAUAGUUCAUUCAAUCUCACUAUAGGGAAGGGCAAGAAUCUUCCAUUGUGUAGGCCAGAUGUGUCAUGUCAGAACAAUUAAUCUGGCUUGCUCCCACCAUUUUGCUUCUCAGUGGCCCCUCAGAAGGUAAGAGUCAGUGGACUACAAGCAAAAUAACUUGUGCUGGCAGUAUAUUUAUUCCCUGUUAUCCUGUUCUUCAGUAACCUUGCUGCCGAUCCUCCUCCUGUCCCUAUCAUACGGGGAGUGACAUGACUGAGUACAACUGCGGUUAUAGUGUUGGGUGCAGAUUCGGCUAUGUGGCGUGACCACUUGAUUCUCAAGCCACGUCAUAGGGACACUCUCAAUGCACCACUAGAUGUAUGCUAAUUAUGUUAUCAACAUAGCAUAUUUUCCAUCAUAUAAUCGGUGUUGAAUAUGCUGAUAUUUUUAGAAUAACUGUGGUAUCACUUUGCCUUUGUAAUGGGGUGGAUGGGGACACCUGAGUACAAGUGCUUCCAUCAAAGCCUAUGUGACUUAUUUUCUUUAAAAAUAAUCCACACUAUUGUAGAACGUAAGGUCUGCAGAAACUGUUUUGUUCUUAUAUUUACUAGGAGAUCUGAAGAAAGUGGCUUAGAGGAAGCAAAUUUAUUACUGCAUCUAGUUCAGUUCUUGCCUACAGAGCUUGUCUCAGGUCAGUGCAUACACAAAUUAAAAUUCUUAAAUGUGACAGAUGGUAUUUGUUUUUGGUGAGUAUUCUCAGUUGUUUGCUGUGUCCCUUCAAGAAGUAGAUGUAAAAGGAGCCCUUGGAAAUGACAACAGGGGAGUGGAUUCAUCUUCGGUGAGAAAGGAGCCUUGUUUGGGGAGCAGGUUCCAGCACCGUAGGGUAUGACAGUAGGAGAAUCUCUAUGGGAGGCUGCAGCCUAGAGGGAAGGGACUGAGAGUCUGCUCAGAGCAGACAGCAGAUCUCUGAGAUAAUAGAAUGAACUUUUUUUGUUAUCAGAGGAGACUAGCAAAGUUCAGCACAGUUCAGAAAGCCACUGAGUUAUCCAAAGUUAUGCCUACAAGCAAUAAUCUGUCUCCAAGGACACAGUGGGCAGAGAGCAGAGUUAUUUAUGAGGUUGUUUUACUUUCUAUCUGUUCGAUGCAUUUGCUUUGAAUUUUUUUGCACUCUAAAUCUGGGUUUCUUUUUUUUAUAUGUAUAAAACUUGUCCCUUCCAUUUUGUGUCUGAGGUUAUCUUGCUAUAGAUAAAGGUCUAAGCAGAUCCAAGUCAAAGCUCUAACCAGUAUCAGCUUCCUUCAAAUCAAUAAUUUCUGAUUACUUACUAUCUUUACAGUCUAUAGAGGACACCCUCAGCGGAUCUUUGGUGUGGCUCGCUGAUGGUUUUGACAUGAUUGUAGAACUAACAAUAACUUCUUGAAAGUGAAACCUUUGCUCUGCUGUUUCUGCUAUAUUAUUGCUUCCCUCUAUGCCAGCACUGCAUCUCAUUUCAGUGGCCUUUACAGAAAAUGCAUAAUUUUUCUUUUCUGGCCUCUGUGUUACUCUCAGCCACUCUUAUACUUAUGUGCAUGACUCUUCAAAGUAUUUGAUGACUUAGCUUGUUUGAAACAUGCAAUUCCUUUAUUUAUGGUGCAAGUAGGAAGAAAUCUAAAGAACACAGUUGGGUCUGAGUGACUGUGGGCAGCAGAGCUCUUCCACUACUUCAUAAAAUUUGCCGAGAUGUGUGGGUUGUGAGAGGAAAUGGAGUCUAGUGGCUUGAGGGUAGAUUUCUCAGCCAUCUGUGGGACUAGAGAAGUAUUUAUAUUGUGGCUUAGGACAGUGAUGGAUUUUUCCCUGCUUUCCCCAGCUCUUUUUGCUCAGCUCUGGGUUUUCUCACACCCAAUCUUAGCAUUCACAAACUUGCACAACGACACACAAGUGAAAAAAUCUGCAUGCAAUGAAUUCACAGAAGUUCUUUAGAUCAUAACAUUAUUUUUGGGCUGUAGGGAAUCUGGGAUAGUUGCUUGUUAUGCAGCAGUGCAUCUUAUCAGCUGGUGUCUUUGCCUUGUUCAACAAGUGAUAGUUCUAUUCUUUUGCUGGCAGGUGGUCUCAAAACUACAAGUGUUCAGUGCAUUUGGCCCUAGUCCUUGGGGACUGGAUUGGCAUAAAGACUUCUGUCUCUAAUUACUAACAAAUCAUAAAGUGCAGUGGGAUAAUCCUUCCUUGACUUGCCUUGACUUCUUUCAAGCCAUGUGUGUUCUCCCUGAACUGCAGCAAUGUGUAGUUAGCCAGUUAGUAUUUGCUGUUCUCUGCAAAGCUCCCUUCACAGGACCUUUCAAAAAAGAUUCUCCCUCACCUUUAAGUAUAUUUUUGCAGAGCUUUUAUUUUCUAAAGAAAACACAGCACAAAGAUAAAGAAUUAAAAUUAUAAAAUGUCCAGAAUAAGGAGAGAAAAAGCAAUGAGUGUUGCUUAUCAAUUCAGAGGUGGGACAAAACGAAGAGGCAGUUUUUCUCAAUCAUUGUCAGUCUUAAGGUUGACAAGCCUUAAGCCAAGGAUAUAGAAAAGGCACAUCCAAACAUUAGACAACGGUUUACAAUUUAAGAAGGAGCUGGAUGAUGUUAUGAGGACUUGACAACUGCUGUCCCUUUCCAUCAUGGCCAGAAUACUUGGUGCUUGUGAAUAUUAUGUGGAUAUGAAAGAAUGAGUCUAAAGUAAUGAAUGAGUGAAAUCUAUGAGAGAAUGACUGAGAGUGAAAUGAGUUUUGAUAAGAUUUCUCUUUCCUUCCUCUGUGCUCUCUCAUUGAGGUUAUUCACACUAGUUGUGCAACACCAGUGCCAGAAGUUCAUUUAAGAAGCAUAAAACCAUUUUUACACUGUAAUAGUAUCACUGAUAUUAUGUCAUUUAGGGGAGGCAGGAGAAGAAGCUCAUAAUAUUUGAAUAUUUUGUAAGUGUAAUGCAAAGCUGAAGAAUGAGGAAGGGGGAGGACAGCAUUAUUAGUCCUUUCCUUGGCAUGUCAGUAGGUAGUUAAGGAGAUCCUGUCACAGUUCAUUCAACAUUAAAAUUAUAUAUUCUGUUGAGAGGUGACUGCUUCCAUUAACAGCAAUUACAUUCAAGGAAGUUCAUUUCUGUGAAAUGAUCCUGCAUUUCCAAAAUUGCAGUGUUGCUGUUAUAUGCAUUGUUUCUGUAUCAUUUAAUUUUCAUUGUUAGCAGAGUUUCUCACCUUGAAUGUAGUAUUAGACUGUAAUGUAGAGUCCAGUUUCCAGUUUGCUUUUGUGUCAAAUACUGAUAGAAAAUAGAUCACUCAUAGCCUUAGAUCAUUCUUGCCUCUGAGGCUCUUAUUGUGUUUUAUCUAUGUGCAAAAAAGACACAUACUUCACAAACUAAAGUGAGACAGAGAUACGGGAUCAUGGAGUGGAAAAUACAAACAUCAAGAUCGCUGUCCUAGACCAGUGACUUUCCCCUUAGCACAGAGAGAACACUGUUGUGGUGCUCAACGCUGGGUUUAUGAAAUGCUGUGUGCUCUUUGCUAUGUCACAGACCCCCCUGUGCCAAGGGGAAUUUUGCCUGCUAUGAGCCAUUAAUACUGGGGUCACCAUCUGCUUGUUUCUGCUUCUGAGUGAAGGAAAGGACUGUCUUUUUUCAUAUUAAGUAGGUCUGUGGCCAGUAUUUAUUUUUAAUACCUUUCCUAAAAGAAAAGAAUUAUCCUAAUAAUUAUUCUAGAGGCUUUGUGCCCAUAAGUGGCCCAGGAAAAGCUGUCAGGCUGUGCAACCCUGAAACAAAUAAUAUUUGUGCAAUAGAGUUUGCUGCAUUUGAAGAGGGGACAGCGCGAACUCUUCCUGUGUAUUACAGCACUGGGAGUGCUCUGUUUUUUUUCUUUAGGACAGUGGUCCCCUCAAAAUAUUAGACACAGACACUUGUGUAGUAUCUUCUAGCACGUAGGAUGCUUAAAGCUGCUUUCUGAUCUAAUGUAUUUGUUUUCUCUAUAUGGUCAUUUGCACUCUCUUUGCAGAGAUUUAAAACUCAAGCGCAUAAGCAUUUUUAUUCUACAGUGUUGCAUCUUGGUUGUGCAUAAGCACUAGCUGUUAAAGGUGUAGAGCAGUUCACAAGGGGUUUGUCUAAAUCAAGGUAACUCUCAUCAGCUCAGAGAGACGUGCAGUCUCCACUGAAGUAUCAGUAGCCUUCAAUUCAGUACAAGACCAAAUACUCUUUAAAUGGAUAAUGAUGGGGAGUGCUUGCAAAGUGAAAUGCUGGACAGUCCUGAUACUUGAUCCAGGAAAGAGCUAGAAAAAUUGUACCUCACAGCACAAAACUAAACCACUAUUUCUGGCCAGAGAACUGGAGAGCUUGAUUUGCAUUGCCAGUUGUAAGAAUCUAAGGUUCAUUGAUAUAUCAAGGUUUCUGUGUGCUCCAUCAGCCCUUUGAAUCUUUUGAGAUUUCUUUGCUAUUUAUAGCACAUAUCUUAGUCAUUAGAUUGUGUAGGCUGUGUUCUAAUGCCUUUUAAAGCUGGAGAGUCAGUGGAAAUAUUGCAAUUAACAUGACAACAGUUAUUUUAAAACUAACCUUCUGUCAACAAAAAGCCCUCAGAGCUGCUAUUUUGCUUGUUGGCUGUCAUGCCUCUUGUCCCAGGGGAACCAUCCCUGGCUGAUUGUGCUGUGACACUGACAGCUUUUUGCUGCAGGGAAUCUUCACGUAUUUUCCCCAGGUAAAGAGACAGCAAUAUUAUGUCAUUUAAGCUGUUUUGGAGAACAGACACAGUAAGACAGGCAAACCUAAAAAUGCAAAUGCAUGGAAGUGGAACUAUGUGGCUCUCAGUACUAACAAGUAGCUGUGAGAUGCCUGUAUUCUAUUUCUGGCUGUCAUUUUCUCAUACCAUUGUGAACUAGUAAAUUAACCUUGUUCAGUGACUGCAGCACCAUUUAGAAAAUGGGAAUGGUAAUGCUUAGCACCACGAAGGGGCAGUGUAAUUCUUUGCUAAUUAAUAUUUAUAUAGUGACAGAUUCUCCAUUGCUCUGCACCUUUGCAGUAAUUUAAAUCUGUGCAAAAUGAAGACAAAGUGGCUGAAAAGUACAGCUGUGUUAUAUGAACUCUGCCAAUGUGAAGGGCUAUACCAGGAUUACAGCAGUGGAGAGUCUGUCUUAAUUUUCAAAAUACUUUUGCCUGUAGGCAUAGAUCUAUUAAUUCAAUAGUGGAAGUAUCUGUAAUAUUUUCAAGUGCCUCCUUCUUAGACUAUAGCAGAUGAAAAGGUUAGCGUGGUGUUAAGGUACAAACUUACAGGACACUAGUUACUUCAAUAGUUACACACAUUUGUGCACAUAUUCUUACAUUGUAGGUAGUGUAUCUGCCAGUCAAAAAGGAAUAAACCAUAUUUGAAUUACCAUAGAGGUGCAAAAAGUCAUACUGCAGCAUAACUUUGCAGUAAAUUCUUGAUACCUGUCUUAUAUUUUGAUAUGUUUAGUGGGUACCUAUACUUCUCUUGCAGCAAUAAUGAGUUUUAGGGAUGAUGAGGAACACAGGAGUUCAGUGAUUCAAGAGAAAUGUUGGCUUUUGAUCCUUUAGAAAGUUUCUUCUUUUUAUAAAAGAAGCCUUUGGAGGUGAGGAUACCAGUAAUUUUUACCUGCUGGGAAUUUAAGUGUCCCCGACAAGUUAAAAGAAACAGUACCUGCUCGUGAUUCUCUGCUAGGCAGACUAGAAGACAGCAGGACAAACUGCCAUCUUAUUUAAUUAAUGAAGAUGAAUCAAGGACACAGGUAACAGAAUAAUCAUCAGGUUAUCACAGGGAGGUGUCUUUUUUGUCAUUUAGCAAGAAGAUCUUGACAGAUCUCUUUUUGCAGGCUAACUGUAAUCAGUGCUUGUUUGCCAUGCUCAGCCUGCCUUUUCUUACAACUAGACAUAAAACUUUUUUGAACUCUUACUGCAUGACACAUUCUAGGCUGUGAAGGAAUGAAUAAGGAGUACCAAUAGUUUUGGAAUUGGUAAGUUAUUAUUUCCUAGCCUGUGUUUCUACUGUUCUCGUAGUCUGAAGAGAGUAUGUGACUGCAGUUUUAUUCCUGCUCAGUUUAGCUUUCAUUUGCAAAAUUGUGGGGAGAAGAAUUUUUUUUCACUUUUUAUCCACUGGUCCUUCUCAACACUUUGUUUUCCAUGCAGCAGCGGCCAGAAUCUUGUAUAUUUGUUAGUCACAAAAUUUGGUGCACAUUCUUAUUGCUUCUUUGAUUAUGUGCCUGUCACCAAGAGUCUAGCUGUCUGUUCAGAACACUUUCUGAUUAACCAUGGUCUUCUUAUCAUACACUUCACUUUUAGAGUAUCAGAUAAUAUUCCUCCUUACUGAGAGUUAAAGUAUUCCCAAUAAAUAGAAACUGUAACUGGAAUCCAGACAGUGUGGUGUCCAUUAAUUAAAGUGAUGGGAAACUAUUCAGUGAGCAGUUUGUCUCUACAAGAUUAUCACAUUAAAAUACUCUUUUCAGGGUAAGAAAAACACUAGAUGGGGUGACACGAUGUAAGUGUAAGCAUGACUAGGAAGUAUGAGCUGCUAUUAAAUGAAUGCCCUACCUUGCAGGCUUUGUGAUUAUUUCCCAUCUGCUGUUUCUGCACAAAAAGAAAAGCGUUUUCUUUUGACAUCUGUUUUGUGUUUGUGUUUGCUCCUGGAACACAUCAUAGAAUUGAAACAAUCCUACUCAUCCCGUCAUAAAGAAAAGAACAGCGUCCUGCAUGCUGUUCAGUCUAUCUUCUGGAGCCCCAGCAGUAUGAGUUGUAGUUCCUUGUCCAGUCUGGGGCUCAAGAAACAGAAUUUUUUACUGGUUGUCUGCAGAGGCUCUUCUACAGCCUGAAACCAGGGAUAAUAGAGAUCUUAGAUUUCAAACAUUUGGAAAGGUAUGUGCUACAGAAGCUAGCUCAGAGCCGUGCUGCCAGCCCUGGACAUGUGUUUCUACAUACGAAAAAAGUCCUUAAUAUUGAGAAUUUUUCUGACCAGUGAAAGGACAUAUUGCUUUGUGUCCCAUCGUGUACACACCACAGUGCCUUCUGAGAACCUGAUGCUGGGGAUAGCUGCUUUCUCUUGAUCCUGUGAGUGCCUUGAGGUUCAGUUGGAAGUUUGAUACCGACUUUAUUGGAGCCUGAGAAUGAACAACAAAUUUACUGCUUAAUUAUUCCAAAAGGCUUUUCUUAGGAAAGGAGCCUUUACCAAAUACAGACCUGGAUUCUGCUCUGUUAGAGUUUGUCUGAUGCUUUCCAGAAGGUGAACCUCCACACAUCAAUUCUGCAGAAGGGGUUAGAGGUCCGCUAAUACCAUCCUUGCUGAAAACAGCUGUAACUUGAAGAACAGCAACAGCUGGAGGUCAAGCAGCUAUCAUCCCUGAAAUAGUUGCCUUCUCACUGGUAUUGAAACUACUACUUGUCAUCAGCUAGAUCACUUCAAAACACUCCCUGUACUAUGAAGAAACAAGUGGGCUUCCUGUCUCAGAAGACCAAUGUGAAGUGACAUGUUGAGGCAGUACUGGCAUUUCUAUCAUCACCAUUACCAGGGCUUGAGUUUAAGUAGGACAAAGAAGAUGGGAAAGGAGAUUUCUUCAGCUGCAAGAAGAGGAAACAGUAUCCUGGGCUGCAUUCAACAUAACUUUGCCAGGAGGUUGAUGAAGGUCAACCUCUACUCAGCACUGGACACGCCUAUUCGAUAUGGACUGUGAUACCUCAAGCACAAAACUCCAAAAUUCUAUUUUCUUUGACUUGUAAAAGUUUAUUUUUUUAACACAUCUGGAAGAAGCCUGCAUAAGAUGGACAGACUUCACCUGAGCUUUAAGAGGUCCAAGAUGCUGGCACUUUAAACAAAGAUUGUGAGUGAAACUUUAGAUUGAUGAGUGAAAGGAAAACACAUGAGUGUGGAAGAACAAACAGUUUAGAAUAAUGAUUCAUGGUAUUCAAAUAUGAACAUUCUUUAACUUCAUGUACAUGACAAGCCAGAGGCUGAAAAUCAAAUAUGAAAUAGAAAAUAAUUUCCAUUAGAUAGAAUUAGAAGGCAACUACAAAAUAAAACUUGUUUACAUCUGUGUACCUGACAGAUAACAGCAGACUCUGCACAAAGAAGUCUUGCCCUUCAAAUUAUUUGAGGAAACCAGUAUGAAUAGCAAUUUUUUUUUUUAUAUAUUCAUAAGUUUUUUAUGUCAAACUCCCACACCAAAGGCUUCUAAGAAAGCCAGGCAGCACUAGGUUAGGAAGGAACUUCCAGGAACAGGUGAACAAUUGGCUAAAAGAUUGAAGGUGGAAGAGGGGAGGGCUUGGGUGAAACGUGAGCGCUUCCAAUGGAGGGAACGAAGUUGGGAAAUCCAAUGGGUUUCAACUGUCAAAAAAGGUGUAUGUGGUAAGGCAAGUAUGUUUGCCUGGGAUACAGAGUAUGCUCACUUGUGAUACAAUGUAUGUUCAAGGGAGUAAGGAUAAGAUUGGACUGUGAAAAGCUACUAUGAAACCUUUCAAUGCCCUGCUAUCAGAAAAACAAAAGAGUCCAGAAUAGAACGGAAUAGCUCAGUUGCAAGAGGUCCUCAAAAAACAUACAGUCCAACUGCCUGACAACUUCAGAGCUAAACAAAAGUUUAAGCAAGUUGAUAGGGGUAUUGUCCAAAUGCCUCUUGAACACUGUCACACAUACGGCAUCUAGAAAGCCUGUUCCAGUGUUGACCACCCUUACAGUAGAGAGAUUUUUCCUUAUAGGGCAACAGGGAUCAUCAAAAACAUGGAUUUCCUGAUGAGGAACAAAGGUAGGCAAAACAUUUCAGCUUGUGGCAGAGAUCUGUAGGGGUUGUGACAGGUCUACAAAAUCAUGAGUGACAUGGAAUGCAUGAGUAGGGACAGAUGGUUUUUCCAAAGAAGUCCAGUGAGCAGAGCCAGAGGCAACCUUCUUCAAAACAAAAAGAAAGAUGCAGAGUAGGCUGACUCUGAAAUAUGGUGCUUAAGGAAGUCCUGAAUGCAAAAAUGUUUACAUGGGCUCAAGGAAAGAAGUGGAAAAUUCUCAGGGAAAGAGAUGCACUGGGGGUGACCAGACACAAACCUCAGUAGAAGAAAAAGAAGAAGCUUGGAAAGCACACACAUGCAGUGUUCCUUUCUUUGUUUAGUGAUUAAUUGUUUCACUCUAGAAAAAUGCUUUUGAACACAUUGACCACAAGAUAAAGCCCUUCUCUCUCUCUGUACCUCUCCCAAGAGUGUUUAGAGCUUUAUUUCCCAUGCCUUGAGUCUCAGUGAGUCCUUUCAGUCUAGAUACCUAACAAACCCAAAAAGUAAGUUUCCAUACUCCCAUUUCCUUCAAAGCAAUACCAACCCUACUUUGAACAUAAGCUGCUCAUCCCUAAGACAAAGCAAAACUAUUUUUUCUAUUUUUAUAUUCACAUUACAAAUAUGCACUCUUAACAGGACCUAUUUACUUACCCCUCCCUGCCAUAUCAGGAAUUCACCUCCCUGAAUAUUAUAAUUCCCAACAUUAAUAAUACAAUAAACUCCAAUAUUAUAAUUCCAUCAAAGUUAGGUUUUAAACUAGUAUAAAAUUACUGAAAUGGAUAAGAGAGCUUAGCUUCUACUAAACAAGAAUUAUUUCAUCUACCGCAUUUGAAAUGCAAUCCUACAGUUAAGUAGUGAAGAAAAGAACAACUACAUAGUUUAUAAAGAGCAAAUUAGAGGAAGCAGAGCAGUUGUAUAUGAUAAAAUUUGGCUACAAACACUAAAAUAAAGACCUCGGAUUUGGAAAAACAACAGAGGUGUUCUUCUCCUAUUCAAGACAUUGACUCUGCCAGAGUGACACUAAACAAUGUGGGAUCAAGUUUCCUUCAUAUAUAUUAAAAAAUUGUGUGUGCAUAUGUACAUAUAUAUGAAAGAAAAUAUAUGAAUUACAUACAGAUGUGUAAUAUAUAUAUAGAGAGAGACAGAGAUAGAAGUUUUUAUCAUUAGUUUUUAAGUAACAGGAGAAGGUUAAGAGUACAAGAGGAGGGGAGAAAAGCAUAAAGAAAGAUUUCCAGAGAAAAAAGGAUAACAUAACCUUUGAAAAUUUACUAAGGCUUAAGAUAUGUCUACUCAUACACUGCUUUCUACCCAUUUCAUUAGAUUUUAAUUUUCUUUUUACGUCCUUUUCCUCUACAGAUUCUGAGAAGUAAUUAUUUCAAUAUCAAUUGAUUUGGAGGAACAGUCCCAAGUCAGAAUUAAGCAGCUUAUGGAAGUUUGUCUUGUUCCUGGUUAAACAUUCUUGCUAUGCAGCUGGUUAAGCUGCUUGCAGUAAUAAAAUCCAGCUGAAAUAACGGAAUUGUGCUUGUGAACCCAGACUUGGCUUGGCUAAGGGGAACUUCUCAAAUGGCUCCCAUCAAUGUCAUAGAUUUAGAGAAAGCUUUCCCAAAUAAUCAAGCAGAGGCAAAGAAACAGAAAAAGCUUAAUCACUUUCCUCCAGUGCUUCUUUCAUGAAAACGAGAAUAUCAUACUCUUACACACCGAACCAAUAACAGCAACAACAGUUAAUCUGCUGCUUAUGUUGUAAUAAACAAUUAGAUUCAAA